AAGCGGCAGAGGCACGGAGGACGUGGCUGGGCGCCCCGGGCACGAGCAGGACCCGAGGCCAGGGGCCAGGGGCCCAGAAGGUUCAUACCUGUUGGUGGAGAUGUUAGAGAGGAGUGGAGAUAAAAACUUGAUGAAGUCCGACACAGCUGGCUGGGAGUGAGAUCAGAAGCAGCGCGCGUCCCAGAGCGCUACCAUAAUGAUGCCGUCCAGGUCCACAGUACAACCGGCUGCCUUGGUCAUUGCCGUAAUGACAGUACAUUCCAACUUCUCAAGGUGGUCAGGAAGUGGAACCAAGCAGGAAGUUCUGCAUGCCUAUGGCUUCCCUGUGGAGGGACCUCAAGAAGCCACAACAUCCAGCUCUACGCCAAGACUGACUGACGGCCUUUGGGGUGAGGUAGUAGGUUGUAUGGUUUUGGGCUCUGCCCCGCUCUGCGGUAACUAUACAAUCUACUGUCUUUCCUGAAGUGGCCGCAAUAUCUGCAGUGGAUACAACGGCGGCCCUGGCUGGGGAGACUGAGGGAGGGACAGGGGGGUGAUAACUACCAUGCAAAAAGAGCCUGACAGAGACCUUGGAUAGUCCCUUGACCUCUCUGGGCUGUUACUCAUCUGUAUAAGGGUUGGGGCAUAGCGAUGAAAACAGACAGCAUUUUCAGGGCACCUUCUCUCCCUGGCCCACACUGAAGGGGCCUUCCUGCCCCUGGCCCCAUAUCAGACCUGUGCUCACAGGUCUCCAUGAAAAGAGGGUCUGGACUAGACCUUCAACUAUGUUCCAGAGUUGCCCAGGCUUUCCAGCGCAGGGUCAGGCCUCUGACGAGCAAGCGUCUCUUCCGAGAAGAAAUUGAAAAGGAGCCAUUCUUAGCACACCCAUGAGUACAGCCUGCAGAUGGACCGUGUAGGCCACUGUCCCCUGUCCCUGGGGCAAUGGGUUCAGACACCAGAGGCUUCCUCAAUCUGUUUGGUAGGCACAGGCCUUUCUCACUGAACCUCUGUCUCCACUUCCCCCUCCCCCACCCCGCCCUGUGCCCUAUGGCUCUAGUGGCCUGUGGCCAGGGUGGGUGGGGAGCGGCUGGGCCUCCUCCAGAACACGGACACCGCAGGGUGAGGUAGUAGGUUGUGUGGUUUCAGGGCAGUGAUGUUGCCCCUCCGAAGAUAACUAUACAACCUACUGCCUUCCCUGAGGCGCCCAGGGACACAGCUACAUGGAGGCCCCCGCUCAGCAAGCUAAAUGGAGCCACAGAUUGGGUGGGGGCUAUGACGUGGGACCUGGGUAUAAAUAAAGGAUGUUCUGUCAUGAACUUACAA
rnacentral:lncRNA from 1 species